rnacentral:lncRNA from 1 species
AUGGCAGGGGAUGAGCUGGGGGGGCACCUCCACACGUGGGCCCCGCGGCCCCUCCCAGGCACGGAAGGCGACGACGGGCACGGAGCACCCCCGGGGACUGCCGGCAGCGUUGCCACACGCGUGUGCAGGGAUGUGAGCGUCCCCCUGCCAGGCACACGUGUCUCCCAGCUGCGUGCCUUGCAGGAAGGUGCUCCCCACGCUGAACUGAGCUGUGCGCUGCUGGUCCUCGUGGGGACGCGCUGUCCCUGCGGGCUGUCCCUGCGGGGUGGCACGUGGGCAGCGCGCUUGGGGCUGGUCCUGCCCGUGCCCCUUCCCCUGGGGCAGAGAUGGGAACUGGGGGGCUGCGGGUUCCCACAGCAGUCCCGGGCUCUCCGGCUUCCCCCAGGUUUCAACCCCUCGUGCUUGGUUUUGCAGCUGCUGCGGGGGCUCCUGUUCCAUGCCGGCUGUACAGCCGCAUGCCAGCGUUUUAUCCGGAUUUGUUCUGAAGCCCCAUCGCUCAGGUUCCCAGGGCUCAGUGCUGCUGUCCCGAGGCCCCGGCUCUGCCUCUGGAGCCGACGCAGGUCCUUGCCUUUGGUGGAGAAAAGGGGACUGGCUGGGCCAGGGGGUUCCCUGGGUGCUUGGUGCGAGGUUUCCCGGGAGAGCGCAGAAGUCCUGAGAGCGGGGCCAUGGGCAGAGCACGGACAAGAGGCAGAUGUCCCCGGGGGGCCCUGUAGUGGGGUUAAGCCAUGUCCUGGGGGGGACAGCGGGGUCCUUUCCUCAGCCUGUUCCCCACGCCUUGGUCCUGCCCUGCACGUGCAGCCUGAGCUCUGGACCCUGCGGGGCUGUUCCUGCACCGAGCAGCCCAGCGGCUGCUGCCCCCCAGCUGGGGAGCCCCAGGACGCAGCAGCUCCUGGUCCCUGCUUCGCCCCGCGAGGAUUUCUGAGCCUGGCUGCUGCCCCUCCGGUGGUGGCUCUCCUCUGGCUUCGAGCCCUGCAGGGGCAGCAGCCUCGGGCUCCCAGGAUUUCAGCUUUCACUGCGGGCAUCCAGCAACGCACGAUGCAUCCCACUGCAUCACCAGCGGUGCUGGGGAGGCGAGGCAGGAGCAGCUUGGCGGGGUCUCACGGCGCGCAUCCACCCUGCCCCACGCGGGGCACUAGGCUUGGUUUACAGCACGGCCAGAGAAGUCCUUGGGGGGCUAAGAGGGGGUCAGGAGAAGCCAGGACCCAGCUGGUGGGGCAUCAGCCGCUGGAUCAGCCGUGCCUGUCAGCUCCUGGUGCUGGGCUUCCCCCAGACUCGUGCACGGUCCUGCUGGCACUGGGGACAGCUGUGUCCCCAUCGCCCUGGACAGCCUGGAGCAGUGGUAUAGGGGAGAGGGAGGCUCAACCUGUGCUACCCCUCUCCCAGUGGCAGGACGCACCGGGGAGCCAGAGCCCAGCCAGCCUGCUCUCAGAGAGCUGGGAAAAAAAAAAAAGCGUGAGUAAUUUAACGCCCCAUUUACCAGCAGCUCCUCAUGCCCGGCCUGGCCAGCAGCCUCAGGCUGAGAUGAGCGGCGCCCUACAAAUGGCAGUGGGGUGGCUGCGGGUGUCGCUUUGGCACCCAGCCGCUGCCACCUCCAAGCCCGGCAGCUCCCACACCCUUUCCUUCUCCGUGACCCUGUGCAGCCCCCCCAGACCCUGUGCAGCCCCUCCAGACCCUAUCCAGCCCCCCUGCUCGCCCUGCCUCGGUCCCUUUGGGUGCUGCUGGCCCCAUGUCCCCCCUGCAGGUGGCUGUCCAGCUCCUCCAGAGCCCCCUCUCCUCCGGCAGCGCGGCUGGAGGUGCUGGGACGCGGUGGCCGGAGGGGACAGGACACGUCCCCACGGCCGCAGCGAGGUCCCCAUCAGCUCCAGGACCCCGGGGGAAGGAGACCAAGCGGGGGUGCUCGCUGCGGGCUCGCUUCCCGGGACAGGAGGUUUGCAAAUCUGCGCGGGGCAUCGCAGUCGCAGCUUGGCUGGGGGUGAGCACACGUCCUGGCUGCAUCCGUGCUGGGGAAGGAGCCCCCUCCCCACUGCCAGGCGCCCCCCAGCUGGAUCCCAGCGGGCUCCCGGCACCCUCACAGCAUUUUGGCUGCCCCACAUCUCUGGCUGCCCAACCAGCCCCUGCAGACGCGGACCGACACCAGGCAAAUGGAUCCCACUGGUGGCGGCGUCCUGCACCGUACACUGA